GAUGAACGCUGGCGGCGUGCUUAACACAUGCAAGUCGAACGGGAAACUUUUCAUUGAAGCUUCGGCAGAUUUGGUCUGUUUCUAGUGGCGGACGGGUGAGUAACGCGUGGGUAACCUGCCUUAUACAGGGGGAUAACAACCAGAAAUGGUUGCUAAUACCGCAUAAGCGCACAGGACCGCAUGGUCCGGUGUGAAAAACUCCGGUGGUAUAAGAUGGACCCGCGUUGGAUUAGCUAGUUGGCAGGGUAACGGCCUACCAAGGCGACGAUCCAUAGCCGGCCUGAGAGGGUGAACGGCCACAUUGGGACUGAGACACGGCCCAGACUCCUACGGGAGGCAGCAGUGGGGAAUAUUGCACAAUGGGGGAAACCCUGAUGCAGCGACGCCGCGUGAAGGAAGAAGUAUCUCGGUAUGUAAACUUCUAUCAGCAGGGAAGAUAGUGACGGUACCUGACUAAGAAGCCCCGGCUAACUACGUGCCAGCCGCCGCCGUAA
rnacentral:rRNA from 1 species